GUCCAGCUGACGAGUCCUAAAUAGGAUGAAACGCGCGUCCAGGAU
rfam:Schistosoma haematobium scaffold450_10, whole genome shotgun sequence.